UUGGGCGUAAAGCGAGCGCAGGUGGUUUAUUAAGUCUGGUGUAAAAGGCAGUGGCUCAACCAUUGUAUGCACAAGCUAUGAAAAGUAAAUACACCAAAUUAUUGCUUGAAAAUUUCCUUUUAUCGCCUUAUGAAAUGACCGACCCAACAAUUAUGGCUGACUUGCAACAGAACCAAAUUUACUUUGUUCACAACCUUGAUGUGACGUCAAAAGUUUGCAAAAUCAAAAUUUAUGAUGGCCCAUUUACUGAAGAAAACUUCAUGAUGGUUCCAACGAACUACAAAAUUUUCA
rnacentral:rRNA from 1 species